AGAGUUUGAUCCUGGCUCAGAGCGAACGCUGGCGGCGUGCUUAACACAUGCAAGUCGAGUGCGCAGUUCUCUGUAGCAAUACAGGGGAUGGGCGCACGGCGCACGGGUGCGUAACACGUGGGCAAUCUGCCCUCGGAUGGGGGAUAACUCGUCGAAAGGCGAGCUAAUACCGCAUGACACUCCGAAGACUCCGGUCUUUGGACUCAAAGGCCGCAAGGCCGUCUGAGGAGGAGCCCGCGCCCGAUUAGCUAGUUGGUGAGGUAACGGCUCACCAAGGCUUUGAUCGGUAGCCGGUCUGAGAGGAUGGCCGGCCACACUGGAACUGAGACACGGUCCAGACUCCUACGGGAGGCAGCAGUGGGGAAUAUUGCGCAAUGGGCGAAAGCCUGACGCAGCGACGCCGCGUGGGGGAUGAAGCUUCUCGGAGUGUAAACCCCUUUCGACCCGGACGAAUGACCCGCAAGGGUUUGACGGUACGGGUAUAAGAAGCCCCGGCUAACUACGUGCCAGCAGCCGCGGUAAUACGUAGGGGGCCAGCGUUGCUCGGAAUUACUGGGCGUAAAGGGUUCGUAGGUGGUGCGGCAAGUUGGGAGUGAAAUCUCUGGGCUUAACUCAGAGGCUGCUUUCAAAACUGCCGUGCUCGAGUGCGAGAGAGGCCAGUGGAAUUGCAGGUGUAGCGGUGAAAUGCGUAGAUAUCUGCAGGAACACCCGUGGCGAAGGCGGCUGGCUGGAUCGCAACUGACACUGAGGAACGAAAGCUAGGGGAGCAAACAGGAUUAGAUACCCUGGUAGUCCUAGCCCUAAACCAUCAGGACUUGGGGGUGGCUCGCGUUAGCGAGUCGUUCCGGUAGCUA
rnacentral:rRNA from 1 species